rnacentral:rRNA from 1 species
AGAGUUUGAUCAUGGCUCAGGACGAACGCUGGCGGCGUGCCUAAUACAUGCAAGUCGAGCGGAAUGAUGAAGAAGCUUGCUUCUUCUGAUUUUAGCGGCGGACGGGUGAGUAACACGUGGGCAACCUACCUUGUAGAUUGGGAUAACUCCGGGAAACCGGGGCUAAUACCGAAUAAUCCAUUUUGCUUCAUGGCAAGAUGUUGAAAGGCGGCUUCGGCUGUCACUACGAGAUGGGCCCGCGGCGUAUUAGCUAGUUGGUAGGGUAAUGGCCUACCAAGGCGACGAUACGUAGCCGACCUGAGAGGGUGAUCGGCCACACUGGGACUGAGACACGGCCCAGACUCCUACGGGAGGCAGCAGUAGGGAAUCUUCCACAAUGGACGAAAGUCUGAUGGAGCAACGCCGCGUGAGUGAAGAAGGUUUUCGGAUCGUAAAACUCUGUUGUAAGGGAAGAACACGUACGAGAGUAACUGCUCGUACCUUGACGGUACCUUAUUAGAAAGCCACGGCUAACUACGUGCCAGCAGCCGCGGUAAUACGUAGGUGGCAAGCGUUGUCCGGAAUUAUUGGGCGUAAAGCGCGCGCAGGCGGUUCUUUAAGUCUGAUGUGAAAGCCCACGGCUCAACCGUGGAGGGUCAUUGGAAACUGGAGAACUUGAGUACAGAAGAGGAAAGCGGAAUUCCACGUGUAGCGGUGAAAUGC